CUAUUAAAACUAUUGAGCUGAAUCCAAAUCCUAGAAUCACCUUGCCAAAGUUGAUCAAAACAAAACAAGCAUGCAAAAGAGAUAGAAUUUUAUACUUUUAUCAAAAUAAAAAAGUGACACAUUGGUGAUAUCUAUGAGACUUCAAAGUAGAAGUCCUCCAAUGAUGAUCCAUAUGAAAUUUGGCCAAGGUCCUUCUUAAUCGGUGCACCGCCACAGCCUUGUCUUCUCAAGAACACAGUAGGCUUCGAACUCAAAAAUGAUCACAUCAAAAUUCAGUUGCUUCCAAACUUGCCACC
rnacentral:lncRNA from 1 species